AUUGAACGCUGGCGGCAGGCCUAACACAUGCAAGUCGAGCGGAGCGGCGGACGGGUGAGUAAUGCCUAGGAAUCUGCCUGGUAGUGGGGGAUAACGUCCGGAAACGGGCGCUAAUACUGCAUACUAACAUAUGAGCCUAAGUCGGAUUAGCUAGUUGGUGGGGUAAAGGCCUACCAAGGCGACGAUCUGUAGCGGGUCUGAGAGGAUGAUCCGCCACACUUGGACUGAGGCACGGCCCAGACUCCGACGGGAGGCAGCAGUGGGGAAUUUUGGGCAAUGGGGGGAACCCUGAUCAGGCCAUGCCGCGUGUGUGGAGAAGGCCUUAUGGUGGUAAAGCACUUUGAGCGAGGAGGCGUUACUCGCAGAAUAAGCACCGGCUAACUCUGUGCCAGCAGCCGCGGUAAUAC
rnacentral:rRNA from 1 species